UACGGAGGGAGCUAGCGUUGUUCGGAAUUACUGGGCGUAAAGCGCACGUAGGCGGCUUUGUAAGUUAGAGGUGAAAGCCCGGGGCUCAACCCCGGAAAUUGCCUUUAAGACUGCAUCGCUUGAAUCCGGGAGAGGUGAGUGGAAUUCCGGAGUGUAGAGGUGAAAUUCGUAAGAUAUUCGGAAGAACACCAGUGGCGAAGGCGGCUCACUGGACCGGUAUUGACGCUGAGGUGCGAAAGCGUGGGGAGCAAACAGG
rnacentral:rRNA from 1 species